UACGUAGGGUGCAAGCGUUAAUCGGAAUGACUGGGCGUCAAGGGCACGUAGGCGGUGAAUCGGGUUGAAAGUGAAAGUCGCCAAAAAGUGGCGGAAUGCUCUCGAAACCAAUUCACUUGAGUGGGACAGAGGAGAGUGGAAUUUCGUGUGUAGGGGUGAAAUCCGUAGAUCUACGAAGGAAGGCCAAAAGCGAAGGCAGCUCUCUGGGUCCCUACCGACGCUGGGGUGCGAAAGCAUGGGGAGCGAACAGG
rnacentral:rRNA from 1 species